GUCCAAAACAGGUGUUCUGACUGGAGGACAAGCUACCAAUUAACUAGGAACAAUUUAGUGCAAAGAGAUGGAAAACAAAUAGAAUGCAGAUAAAAAAGGUCACACAGAAGCUAAAUUAUCUGUUGGUUCAUUCUUAUCCCAGGCCAAUUAUUCCAAUUGUGUUGAGAGCCAUAUAAAUCAAGUCUAACUAUCCCAAGUCUUCUAAGAAGCUAUCCUUUAGUUGGAGUCCAACUGAGUAGGACUAGAAAAAUAUCGAGGAGUCCAGUAUUGUAUUCUGGGAAGAAUUAUCAUGACUUACAUUUCCAAAAAAUUUUAUGGCUUGCAUAUUUAAGUCCUGUAAGAUUUAUUAUGCUCAUUCUGAAGAUGAAAAAGCUGAGACUCAGAGGGGAUGAAGUGAUUGUCUGUCAGCUCAGUGUUUCAGACUUGAAUUCCAGUAGCAAAAGAAGAUGGGAGUUCCCUUAGUCUAGGGCAUCUGAGCCCUUUUUGGGUUAAAUGGACCACUGUGGCAGUCUGGCGAAGCCUAUGGACUCCUCUUCAGGAUAAUGUUUGUGUUCUAGAUGCAGAAAAUAAAAUAUACAGGAUUUCUCUCUGUUUCUCUCUC
rnacentral:lncRNA from 1 species